UGUAACCCCAAGUACAAUAAAUCGAUAAAUAGAUCCCUCGUUGUGGAAAUUAAUCUCUGCAUGUCCACCCAUCCCCUGCGGCUGCAGUGCAGCGCCUGGUGAGCUCGUGUAAGAUACUUUACCGAAGGAAAACACUUCACUUGGUGCUCUGGUAGGCUUGAUUUGCUCUUUAAAUUGAACAAAAACGCUGUACCAGUAAAUGCUUUUUUCCUUUCUCUCCAAAGAAGCUCACACCGGCAACGGUAUUACGCUUACCUAGUUUAGCUAUGUAACAAUACCCCAAUGUAAUGCUCUGCAUUGUGACAUGCUUAAAUCAGUGGUACAUGACACGAUGAGGCAGGUUUUGCGUCUACGAUCAAUGUUGUAUAUGUAUUGUAUACCCAACUACAAAAAUUGGCAGCGAAAUUGGCAGCGAAAUUGGCAGCGUCAACCAAGAUGGAAGUCGACACCAUACAUGCUGCUAUUUGUACAACAACUCUACUAUUACCUGUAAAGUACUCUGCAAUGAUGUGUAAAACUCAGGGGAAUUAGCUCAAGUGGUAGAGUGCUCGCUUAGCAUGCGAGAGGCAGUGGGAUCGAUGCCCACAUUCUCCAUGUGUCUUUGUUUCUUCUGACAAAUGUUUUUUUUUAAUUCAUUUUGAAAAAAUGUCAGCAAAUGUGUCUGAAAACCAACUACAAGUAAUAAUUUAAUAGGCCGAUGAGGAUGGGAGUCGAACCCACGCGUGCAGAGCACAAUGGAUUAGCAGUCCAUCGCCUUAACCACUCGGCCACCUCAUCUUUCCUCCAAGGAAAUUCACAUCCUUCACAGCAAUAUUUCCAAUGAGAGCUUGCUGAGCAUGCAAUGGGAAUUGGGGUUGAAGCCCAAAUUCUGCAAGUGUCUUUCUUUCAUGAUCUGGUUUCGCUCAGUCUGCAGGUCAAUAGCCUGUUUUCCAACUAUAUAUUCCCAGGCUCACCAACAUCCCAGUGAAUGAAGUGAAUGCUUGGUGAUUAGUUUUUUUAAUUGAACCAAACACUGUAACAGUAAAUGCCUGUUUCAAUUGUAUUAAAAGUAGCUGAUACAACUAACGUGCAGUUGUUUAACCCACCUACAUCUGCCUUGGCCUAGUUGUUGAGCUUUGUACAAUACAGUGAUCUCAUGCUGUGCACUGUAACAUACUCAGACCAGCGUUACAUUACACAACACCUACCAGUGACCUGAAUCAGUCUCUGCAUCUGUAUGACCACUGUUGUAUAUGUUGUAACCCCAAGUACAAUAAAUCGAUAAAUAGAUCCCUCGUUGUGGAAAUU
rnacentral:tRNA from 1 species